AUGGAAAUGAUGAUCUUUUCUCUAAAUUAUGCAAGUUGAAAUAACUUAGCAGCUUAUACCUCUGUUUUACACCAAAACACCAAACCAAACGUAUCUGAUCCAU